rnacentral:rRNA from 1 species
AUUGAACGCUGGCGGCAGGCCUAACACAUGCAAGUCGAACGAGUGGCGGACGUGUGAGUAAUUUCUGGAAAACUGCCUUAUGGCUGGGGAUAACUACUGGAACCGGUAUCUAAUCCCGCAUACCAUCCUCUUUUACCUGAUGGGAUUAGCUAGUAGGUGGGGUAACGGCUCACCUGGGCGACGAUCCCUAGCUGGUCUGAGAGGAUGACCAGCAACACUGGAACUGAGACACGGUCAAGACUCCUACGGGAGGCAGCAGUGGGGAAUAUUGCACAAUGGGCGAAAGCCUGAUGCAGCAAUGACGCGUGUAUGAAGAAGGUCUUCGGGUUGUAAAGUACUUUCAGUGGGGAGGCGUUACCCGCAGAAGAAGCACCGGCUAACUCCGUGCCAGCCGCCGCGGUAAUAC